rnacentral:rRNA from 1 species
CGCACGGGUGCGUAACGCGUGGGAAUCUGCCCUUGGGUACGGAAUAACAGUUAGAAAUGACUGCUAAUACCGUAUAAUGACUCCGGUCCAAAGAUUUAUCGCCCAGGGAUGAGCCCGCGUAGGAUUAGCUAGUUGGUGAGGUAAAGGCUCACCAAGGCGACGAUCCUUAGCUGGUCUGAGAGGAUGAUCAGCCACACUGGGACUGAGACACGGCCCAG